UAAAUUAUAUAUUACACGUUUAUUAGGAAUACAACUUUCAUGUAAAAUUUACAUUUUAUGAAAAAAUCAAAAGUAUUUACAAAAUUUUGGAAGACAGAUGUGCUCUAAUUACAACCCAAAGUAGUAAAUGACGACCCUUGAACGCUCACUGUGCUAAGAGUUCUGUGUUUACAAAUUCUUGUUAAAGAAGCAGCUACAAAGUUAUCACUGUACACAAGCAAGAACCAGCUUGCUAGAUAAGAUAGUCUCCCACUGACUCUACUGGGUCUUUUUAAACAUUAGUGAAUUUUUAAAUGGAAAAAAGAAUCACUAUAAACUCAUAUGGCUUUAAAACUGUAACCUGUACCCAAUAUAAACUUGCAUGUCGACACUCAGUAUGAAGGCUGUGGGGAUUAGGAAAGUGCACAAGGUUAACCAACCAUUCCACUCACUUCAACAUUUUAAGGUAAUACUUGAUUAACAACAGACAGUGUCAGAUUUCAAAUAGUAAAGCAUUAACUGCCCAAUAAAAGCAGAUUUAGUCAAUAUUUUAGUAAGUGUAAUUGAAACUGGCAUUUUAAAGAUUGUAAGAGUUAGAAACUCUCAUUUUGAUAGUUAGUAAAGGCUGAAUUUUCUUAUCUUUACCUAAGUCAAACCUAAAUUUAGAAAAGGAAUAAUACUGAAUAAAAAAUGCUCAUUUGUAUUACAUACUGUGAAAAAGAACAGAUUUCUGCUGUUUAAUAUAGCAAGGUGUUAUAUUAAUGUCUAGAAAUAGGGAUUUUAUUUUCUCUAAUGCUUAACAAAAUUAGUGGUUUACAUAAAUUACCAGAUAUAACACAAGCUAUCACUUCUAUGGAAAAAAAAAAGGACACUGGUAUUUAUCAUAAACUCCUGUCUGUGAAUUAUGAGGCCCUGUCUAGAACACACUCUUGUUAGUGGGGUUGACGUCAAGCUGCUGCGCGGCAUGAGCAGCUCAUUUAAGAGGCUCUUCCCCGUCCUUCACGUCAUACAUCGCCCACCUCACCAUGU
rnacentral:lncRNA from 1 species